rnacentral:rRNA from 1 species
UACGUAGGGUUCAAGCGUUAUCCGGAUUUAUUGGGCGUAAAGAACAUGUAGGUGGCUUUGUCAGUCUCGUCUUAAAGCUCUGAGCUCAACUCAGAAUCUGGACGAGAUACUGCAAGGCUAGUGGUCAGCAGGGGCAAAUGGAAUUCCCGGUGUAGGAGUGAAAUCCGUUGAUAUCGGGAGGAACACCAAUGGCGAAGGCAGUUUGCUAGGCUGAUUCAGACACUGAGAUGUGAAAGCGUGGGGAGCGAACGGG